rnacentral:rRNA from 1 species
CUUGCUCCCUGAUGUUAGCGGCGGACGGGUGAGUAACACGUGGGUAACCUGCCUGUAAGACUGGGAUAACUCCGGGAAACCGGGGCUAAUACCGGAUGGUUGUCUGAACCGCAUGGUUCAGACAUAAAAGGUGGCUUCGGCUACCACUUACAGAUGGACCCGCGGCGCAUUAGCUAGUUGGUGAGGUAACGGCUCACCAAGGCGACGAUGCGUAGCCGACCUGAGAGGGUGAUCGGCCACACUGGGACUGAGACACGGCCCAGACUCCUACGGGAGGCAGCAGUAGGGAAUCUUCCGCAAUGGACGAAAGUCUGACGGAGCAACGCCGCGUGAGUGAUGAAGGUUUUCGGAUCGUAAAGCUCUGUUGUUAGGGAAGAACAAGUGCCGUUCAAAUAGGGCGGCACCUUGACGGUACCUAACCAGAAAGCCACGGCUAACUACGUGCCAGCAGCCGCGGUAAUACGUAGGUGGCAAGCGUUGUCCGGAAUUAUUGGGCGUAAAGGGCUCGCAGGCGGUUUCUUAAGUCUGAUGUGAAAGCCCCCGGCUCAACCGGGGAGGGUCAUUGGAAACUGGGGAACUUGAGUGCAGAAGAGGAGAGUGGAAUUCCACGUGUAGCGGUGAAAUGCGUAGAGAUGUGGAGGAACACCAGUGGCGAAGGCGACUCUCUGGUCUGUAACUGACGCUGAGGAGCGAAAGCGUGGGGAGCGAACAGGAUUAGAUACCCUGGUAGUCCACGCCGUAAACGAUGAGUGCUAAGUGUUAGGGGGUUUCCGCCCCUUAGUGCUGCAGCUAACGCAUUAAGCACUCCGCCUGGGGAGUACGGUCGCAAGACUGAAACUCAAAGGAAUUGACGGGGGCCCGCACAAGCGGUGGAGCAUGUGGUUUAAUUCGAAGCAACGCGAAGAACCUUACCAGGUCUUGACAUCCUCUGACAAUCCUAGAGAUAGGACGUCCCCUUCGGGGGCAGAGUGACAGGUGGUGCAUGGUUGUCGUCAGCUCGUGUCGUGAGAUGUUGGGUUAAGUCCCGCAACGAGCGCAACCCUUGAUCUUAGUUGCCAGCAUUCAGUUGGGCACUCUAAGGUGACUGCCGGUGACAAACCGGAGGAAGGUGGGGAUGACGUCAAAUCAUCAUGCCCCUUAUGACCUGGGCUACACACGUGCUACAAUGGACAGAACAAAGGGCAGCGAAACCGCGAGGUUAAGCCAAUCCCACAAAUCUGUUCUCAGUUCGGAUCGCAGUCUGCAACUCGACUGCGUGAAGCUGGAAUC